AUGGUUGUCGUCAGCUCGUGUCGUGAGAUGUUGGGUUAAGUCCCGCAACGAGCGCAACCCCUAUUGUUAGUUGCCAUCAUUCAGUUGGGCACUCUAGCGAGACUGCCGGUAAUAAACCGGAGGAAGGUGGGGAUGACGUCAAAUCAUCAUGCCCCUUAUGACCUGGGCUACACACGUGCUACAAUGGUUGGUACAACGAGUUGCGAGUCGGUGACGGCGAGCUAAUCUCUUAAAGCCAAUCUCAGUUCGGAUUGUAGGCUGCAACUCGCCUACAUGAAGUCGGAAUCGCUAGUAAUCGCGGAUCAGCACGCCCGCGGUCCGAAUACGUUCCGGCCUU
rnacentral:rRNA from 1 species